rnacentral:tRNA from 1 species
GGGCGCUUAGCUCAGUUGGUAGAGCGUCUGCCUUACAAGCAGUAUGUCGGCGGUUCGAUCCCGUCAGCGCCCACCA